GGGUUGUGAGGUUAAGCGACUAAGCGUACACGGUGGAUGCCCUGGCAGUCAGAGGCGAUGAAGGGCGUGCUAAUCUGCGAUAAGCGCCGGUAAGGUGAUAUGAACCGUUAUAACCGGCGAUACCCGAAUGGGGAAACCCAGUGUGAUUCGUCACACUAUCAUUAACUGAAUCCAUAGGUUAAUGAGGCGAACCGGGGGAACUGAAACAUCUAAGUACCCCGAGGAAAAGAAAUCAACCGAGAUUCCCCCAGUAGCGGCGAGCGAACGGGGAGGAGCCCAGAGCCUGAAUCAGCAUGUGUGUUAGUGGAAGCGUCUGGAAAGGCGCGCGAUACAGGGUGACAGCCCCGUACACAAAAGCGCAUGUGCUGUGAGCUCGAUGAGUAGGGCGGGACACGUGGUAUCCUGUCUGAAUAUGGGGGGACCAUCCUCCAAGGCUAAAUACUCCUGACUGACCGAUAGUGAACCAGUACCGUGAGGGAAAGGCGAAAAGAACCCCGGCGAGGGGAGUGAAAAAGAACCUGAAACCGUGUACGUACAAGCAGUGGGAGCCCCACCACCAAAGCAUUCUAUGGUGUUGAAGGCCCUGCAAAGCAGCAUCGCGGUGGCGGAGCGUCGUUUGCGACGCCCAACACACAAAACAAGCGGUGAGUGCUUUGGGGUGGGGUGACUGCGUACCUUUUGUAUAAUGGGUCAGCGACUUAUAUUCUGUAGCAAGGUUAACCGAAUAGGGGAGCCGGAGGGAAACCGAGUCUUAAUUGGGCGUUAAGUUGCAGGGUAUAGACCCGAAACCCGGUGAUCUAGCCAUGGGCAGGUUGAAGGUUGGGUAACACUAACUGGAGGACCGAACCGACUAAUGUUGAAAAAUUAGCGGAUGACCUGUGGCUGGGGGUGAAAGGCCAAUCAAACCGGGAGAUAGCUGGUUCUCCCCGAAAGCUAUUUAGGUAGCGCCUCGUGAAUUCAUCUCCGGGGGUAGAGCACUGUUUCGGCUAGGGGGCCAUCCCGGCUUACCAACCCGAUGCAAACUGCGAAUACCGGAGAAUGUUAUCACGGGAGACACACGGCGGGUGCUAACGUCCGUCGUGAAGAGGGAAACAACCCAGACCGCCAGCUAAGGUCCCAAAGUCAUGGUUAAGUGGGAAACGAUGUGGGAAGGCCCAGACAGCCAGGAUGUUGGCUUAGAAGCAGCCAUCAUUUAAAGAAAGCGUAAUAGCUCACUGGUCGAGUCGGCCUGCGCGGAAGAUGUAACGGGGCUAAACCAUGCACCGAAGCUGCGGCAGCGAACGUAUCACUUAAAGCGAUUCAGCGGGUUACGAUUGACGGAGCGAAGCGACGUCAAAGCGUAUACAAAGUCGAGUCGGUUUAAGGAUACGUUCGUUGGGUAGGGGAGCGUUCUGUAAGCCUGUGAAGGUGUGUCGUGAGGCAUGCUGGAGGUAUCAGAAGUGCGAAUGCUGACAUAAGUAACGAUAAAGCGGGUGAAAAGCCCGCUCGCCGGAAGACCAAGGGUUCCUGUCCAACGUUAAUCGGGGCAGGGUGAGUCGACCCCUAAGGCGAGGCCGAAAGGCGUAGUCGAUGGGAAACGGGUUAAUAUUCCCGUACUUGGUGUUACUGCGAAGGGGGGACGGAGAAGGCUAUGUUGGCCGGGCGACGGUUGUCCCGGUUUAAGCGUGUAGGUGUGUGUUCCAGGUAAAUCCGGUUCACUUUAACACUGAGGCGUGACGACGAGGCACUACGGUGCUGAAGCAACAAAUGCCCUGCUUCCAGGAAAAGCCUCUAAGCAUCAGGUAACACGAAAUCGUACCCCAAACCGACACAGGUGGUCAGGUAGAGAAUACCAAGGCGCUUGAGAGAACUCGGGUGAAGGAACUAGGCAAAAUGGUGCCGUAACUUCGGGAGAAGGCACGCUGACACGUAGGUGAAGUGAUUUACUCAUGGAGCUGAAGUCAGUCGAAGAUACCAGCUGGCUGCAACUGUUUAUUAAAAACACAGCACUGUGCAAACACGAAAGUGGACGUAUACGGUGUGACGCCUGCCCGGUGCCGGAAGGUUAAUUGAUGGGGUCAGCGCAAGCGAAGCUCCUGAUCGAAGCCCCGGUAAACGGCGGCCGUAACUAUAACGGUCCUAAGGUAGCGAAAUUCCUUGUCGGGUAAGUUCCGACCUGCACGAAUGGCGUAAUGAUGGCCAGGCUGUCUCCACCCGAGACUCAGUGAAAUUGAACUCGCUGUGAAGAUGCAGUGUACCCGCGGCAAGACGGAAAGACCCCGUGAACCUUUACUAUAGCUUGACACUGAACAUUGAGCCUUGAUGUGUAGGAUAGGUGGGAGGCUUUGAAGCGUGGACGCCAGUCUGCGUGGAGCCGACCUUGAAAUACCACCCUUUAAUGUUUGAUGUUCUAACGUGGACCCGUAAUCCGGGUUGCGGACAGUGUCUGGUGGGUAGUUUGACUGGGGCGGUCUCCUCCUAAAGAGUAACGGAGGAGCACGAAGGUUGGCUAAUCCUGGUCGGACAUCAGGAGGUUAGUGCAAUGGCAUAAGCCAGCUUGACUGCGAGCGUGACGGCGCGAGCAGGUGCGAAAGCAGGUCAUAGUGAUCCGGUGGUUCUGAAUGGAAGGGCCAUCGCUCAACGGAUAAAAGGUACUCCGGGGAUAACAGGCUGAUACCGCCCAAGAGUUCAUAUCGACGGCGGUGUUUGGCACCUCGAUGUCGGCUCAUCACAUCCUGGGGCUGAAGUAGGUCCCAAGGGUAUGGCUGUUCGCCAUUUAAAGUGGUACGCGAGCUGGGUUUAGAACGUCGUGAGACAGUUCGGUCCCUAUCUGCCGUGGGCGCUGGAGAACUGAGGGGGGCUGCUCCUAGUACGAGAGGACCGGAGUGGACGCAUCACUGGUGUUCGGGUUGUCAUGCCAAUGGCACUGCCCGGUAGCUAAAUGCGGAAGAGAUAAGUGCUGAAAGCAUCUAAGCACGAAACUUGCCCCGAGAUGAGUUCUCCCUGAGACUUAGAGUCUCCUGAAGGAACGUUGAAGACGACGACGUUGAUAGGCCGGGUGUGUAAGCGCAGCGAUGCGUUGAGCUAACCGGUACUAAUGAACCGUGAGGCUUAACCUUACAACGCCGAAG
rnacentral:rRNA from 1 species